rnacentral:rRNA from 1 species
GACGAACGCUGGCGGCGUGCUUAACACAUGCAAGUCGAACGAAAAGUUCGGGUCUAGUGGCGCUCGGGUGCGUAACGCGGGGGGAGUUGCACUUGGGUAAGCAACCACUCCCUGAGAGGGGUGCUAAUGCCGGAUAAUGUCAUCGGUACAAAGAUCGAUCGCCUUUGGGUGGGGCCGCGUUGGAUUAGCUGGUUGGUAGGGUAAAAGCCUCCCAAGGCGACGAUCCAUAGCUGGUAUGGAAGGAUGACCAGCCAAACUGGGACUGAGACACGGCCCAGACUCCUACGGAAGGCAGCAGGGGGGAAUAUUGGACGCUGGGCGAAAGCCGAAUCCAGCAGUGUCGCGUAGGUGAGGAAGGCGUUAGGAAAGUAAUUCUCUUUUACACGGAGUGAGAAUGACGGUACCGGGAGAAUAAGCUCCGGCUAACUCCGUG